rnacentral:rRNA from 1 species
AACGAACGCUGGCGGCGCGCCUAAUACAUGCAAGUCGAGCGAGAAGACGUAGCAAUACGUUUGUAAAGCGGCGAACGGGUGAGGAACACAUGGGUAACCUACCCUAGAGUGGGGAAUAACUAGCCGAAAGGUUAGCUAAUACCGCGUACGCUCCUUGGACUUCGGUACAGGGAGGAAAGCGAUACCGUGGGUAUCGCGCUCUUGGAUGGGCUCAUGUCCUAUCAGCUUGUUGGUGAGGUAACGGCUCACCAAGGCUUCGACGGGUAGCUGGUCUGAGAGGACGAUCAGCCACACUGGCACUGCGACACGGGCCAGACUCCUACGGGAGGCAGCAGUAAGGAAUAUUGCGCAAUGGGCGAAAGCCUGACGCAGCGACGCCGCGUGUGGGAUGACGGCC